UACGAAGGGGGCUAGCGUUGCUCGGAAUCACUGGGCGUAAAGCGCACGUAGGCGGCUUCUUAAGUCAGGGGUGAAAUCCUGGAGCUCAACUCCAGAACUGCCUUUGAUACUGAGGAGCUUGAGUCCGGGAGAGGUGAGUGGAACUGCGAGUGUAGAGGUGAAAUUCGUAGAUAUUCGCAAGAACACCUGUGGCGAAGGCGGCCGACUGGGCCGACCCUGACGCUGAGGCGCGAAGGCGUGGGGAGCGAACGGG
rnacentral:rRNA from 1 species